CAGGCAAAUACACCUCAAUAAAAUAUUGGAAUGAAAUUGAAAAAAUAGACAAAUGCAGAUUGAAUUUCUUCCCACAACCAAAUGACGUGAAUACAAAGGGGAAAACAACAGCAAAGGCAUACAGUGACAAGGAGGUGGUCUCAUUUCCCCAGACCUUGAGUCUGGGCUGGCAUUGAGAUCUACAUUGAUCAAUAAUAUGACAGAAGUGAUUUUAAGUGACAUCUGAGGCUGGGCCUUAAGAGGACUUGAGAUUCCACUUUGGCUAUAUUGGAAUUCAACUCUGCUCUGAGACCUCUACACAAGGAAACUGGUCUAAGAUCCUCGUGAAUAAGAAGUCACUUGGAGGAUAGAUUCUAAACCUCAAGAAUAAGAAAUAAAAGUACAAAUUGGUGUGAUGAAGGUAUAUUCCUAUUUUUGGGGAUUGGGAGGCUUUACUUAUUUUUAAAAACUCUAUUGAGGUAAAGAGUUAAGCUGUAACAUACUUCAUUGAUUUCCUCACCCUUUUCGGCUCUGUUUUACUAUAUCCCCUAAUUUGUUGGUUGUGCUAAUAUUUGUAGAAAGAGGUCUUGUAUUUGCUGCAUCAUAAUGACAUUUGUACUUUUUUGACUGGUUUAAGUACAAAUGAAUGAAAUAACCAUUUUUCCUUUAGUUGACUUUACCCUGAUUUCACCUAGUGUUUCAAUGAGUAAAAAUACAGCUAAAAGAAAAGAAAAGAAAAGAAAAAAAG
ensembl:lncRNA NANOGP11 Nanog homeobox pseudogene 11